GAUUUCAUCUCGGAGCUGGAUGCACUCUUCUGUAUCGUGGCCGUGGUCACGAUGGUAGAGGCAGAACUUGUUGGGGUUGUGCUUCCCGGGGUGCGUGCGCAUUUUCUCUGGCCUUGGGAGCUGCUCUCUGACCUCCAUCAGCACCUGGGUUUUUGAUGUGUUGAGGGGGGCAUAGUUGCAGAAUCUUCCUAGAGGAGAACCCC
rnacentral:lncRNA from 1 species